GACGAACGCUGGCGGCGUGCUUAACACAUGCAAGUCGAACGGAAAGGCCUGCUUUCCCUUGUGGAUUGCGGGUACUCGAGUGGCGAACGGGUGAGUAACACGUGAGUGAUCUGCCCCCAACUUGGGUAUAAGCCUGGGAAACUGGUUCUAAUUCACGAUAGGACUGCAGGGUGGUGCCUGUGGUGGAAAACGAUUUUCUAGUGUUUGGGGAUGAGCUCGCGGCCUAUCAGCUUGUUGGUGGGGUAAUGGCCUACCAAGGCGGCGACGGGUAGCCGGCCUGAGAGGGUGGACGGUGGCAUUGGGACUGGGAUACGACCCAGACUCGUACGGGAGGCAGCAGUGGGGAAUAUUGCACAGUGGGCGGGAGCCUGAUGCAGCGACGCCGCGUGGGGGAUGACGGGGUUCGGGUUGUAAACUCCUUUCGAGCGCGAGGAAGACACCUGGUUGGAAGGGUGGUGACGGUAGUGGUAGAAGAAGCACCGGCUAACUACGUG
rnacentral:rRNA from 1 species